AUAAAAACUCGAUUAUAAAAAUUCAAUUAAACCCGAAUAAGCCUAAAAAUAAAAAAAAUUAAGCCCAGCGUCGAAUCCAUAAUAAUCAUUAUUAAAAUAAAAUCGAAGUAAAAUCAAUUUAUGAAUCUGAAUCGCCGCUAGCUUACGGUGUAGUGUGUACGUACUCCAAGCUCCUAAAUACUUGAAGAACACGCUUUCCAUUUCUCAUUCUGGGUUUUCUUUAUCUAUAGGUUAUUUUGAUGUUAAGAGCCUUCUCUUUAAAAAAAAAAAAAAACUUUCUCUCUUUGUUUAUAUUGUUUGGC
rnacentral:lncRNA from 1 species